rnacentral:lncRNA from 1 species
AAUAAAAACUGACAAUGCUACAGCAUGUCUCCACAAAAUUGGAACAGUUUUUCAAAUAUAACAUAAAGCAUGUCAUGGGUAUACCACACAAUCCUACAGGACAAGCAGUGGUUGAGAGAUCUAAUAGGACACUAAAUUAGACGCUCCAUAAACAGGUUUGGAAAACAAAACCCCCCAAAAUUAGGUUGCAUAAUGCUUUAUUAAUACUAUUUUCUUAAUGCCAAUGAAAAAUGACAAACAGCUGCGGAAAGACACUGGUCUAAGGGGAAAAAACUGCUGAACUGAAUCAGUCGGUAUACUUCUAAGAUGUACUAACUUCUGUAUGGAAACCAGGACAUGUGUUACGAUGAGGUAGGGGGUUUGCAUUUGUUUCCACAGGAGAAGAAAAACUUUGGAUACCAUCAAAGUUGAUCAAGAUUUGAGUUGAAAAGGAAAAACUUCUCGACAAGGAGAAAUAACAGACCCACACAGCCAAUGAAGACCCGCCUGACACGAAUCCCUGGACACCCUGGAAAGAAAAUGGGCCACACCUUCUCAAAUGCACUGGAUCCAACUUGCUCCAUUUCAACUGACACUCUGGACAGAGUUUCACUUACUGACUUCAAUCAAGUUGAGGAUUUCAAGGGAGAUCUUUAAUCAAGAGAAUCCCAUCCAACAUGGACUGGAUACAAUCCAUUCAAGACGUUCACUAUACUAACAUUUUCUUCCUAAGGACGCCAAGAGGUUAUCACCAUCCCAUUUCAGCAGGAAGUAACUUGGAG